ensembl:lncRNA
UGGAGAUGGUAGUUCUCAAAAGGAAACAAUAACUCGUGAGUGUAAGCGUAAUGGCUUCUUGUAUUCAGUGGAAGUGUGGGAACUAAAGGGUGUCACCAAGGCAGUUUUGUGUUAGCUGCAUAUUUUUUGUACUAAGCAAACAGCCAAUAAUGUUUAUCUGGAGUUGGCAUGUGUUAAAAGAUUCACUGAGACAAAAAGAACUUAGGAAAAGGAAAUCCUAAUGCUAACAUGAACCUUGGAGCAUUACUGUAAAGAAAACAGAGCAUCACUAUUGGUGGGGUGGGAAGACGAGCAGGCAAGGAGUGCUGGGGCCAUGGCCAGGUCCUGGCGGUUGUAACAGCGUCAGAGGGAAGGCAAAAUGAAGGGUGGAACAUUACUCCCACCCUGCCUGUAGCCGGCACGUGUCCAUGCAGCCUGAAGUGAAUCUCUUGGUGGGAGGCAACACUGCGAGAGCGGGGCCUUGGAGGAAAUGUCCUGAAAGCCACCUGCUGAGAAGGCAGAGCACUGCCAAGUCGGUCACAGCCACUUGAUGUUGCGUACCAUGGGACAGCGGCUGACAGCGAGGUGUGGGCAGCUGCAUCUGAUGAACAGUAGGAGUUUAUUGAGUUGGCAUUUGAUUGUUGGCCCGUGUUUGGCAGAUGUCUGCAGCAACGCAUAACGUGAGGGUUGGGCAGGCACAUUGACAGUACAUGCUCCUAUGUACCCUUGCAUCUACUGAAUCACAGACUCACAGAGUGGUUUGAGUUGAAAGGAACUUUAAAGGCCAUCCAGUUCCAGCCUGUGCCAUGGGCAGUGACAGCCCCCACUACACAAUGGUACCCAAACGUGAAGGUGGAAUCCAACUAACUCACCUUGCCUUUCUUAUCAUGAAGCCAAGUGUUCGUCCACAAUACAUUUCCACUGUUCCAAUGAAGUUAAAGACCUGCACUACUUAUGGCUGUUGAGCAUUCUCUCCUGAUGCUCUUUGAAAGCACUGAGCUCCCAGGAGCUGAGCUGCAGGAUGGGCUCGGGGCAGCGAUGAGACGCACAGAGGCAUCUCAUUGAGCAUAUGGGAGGAAAUGAGAAGUGAUCUCAUAUCUUCCCAUGGGGUUUAGAAGUAAGAAAGACAGCAAAAGUGACUUGAAUGUCUUAAAAUGUCUCUCUUCGCAUCCAGAAGAAUACAGUCGCAGCAAAGUCAUUUUAUAAGAGAGCCCUAGCGGAUACAAGUGAUACGGCAACUCUUAUAACACUCUAAAACAUCUAUAAAAUUAAUUAUACGUGUUAUCAAAAUGAUUCAUACCAGCCGUGGUAAAUCCCAUUCAUUACAAGUGAGAGUUUAAGUCACAGUUCGCUGCCUCUUAACAGCUGCACAAAUAGAGCGCACUGUCGCCAUGGGGUUGAAAAAGGGAUAGCAUGUCACCUUUCAAAUUUCAUAAGAAUGUGAGAUGUAAUUGCACGCUUCGAGACAGAGGCAGUACUUCUGGGAUCUGUAACCCAGCUCAGUUGUCAGAGACAGGAAAACAAAUAAGCAGAACAUAAAAAAGCCUCCCAUGUUAAGAGAUGGCUUUAACCGCAGAGGCUUUCCGAUCAGACCUGUUUCCUCGCCAUCCUUCUUAUUUUCCCAUAACUUGAAGAAUAAGUGAGUUUAAUUUUUGCCUCGCCCUGGCCUGCCGCCAGCCUGCUGAGCAUGUCCCUGGAGCAGGGAGGAACUGCAUGUCUGCUGUACAGCUCUGCUGAACCCAGCUAACACCGCGGGUCGUCUGCUCCGCACAGCGCUGGCUUGCUGGCGGUGUUUUCCCUAAAUAGGGAUUAAGAUAACUUGUUCUACUUAAUCAAAUUAGUUAUCUUUGAUUCAAUCAGGUUUUUAAGCCAAAUUCCCAAGACAAGGUGGUUUUAGUAGUUUGUUUGGUUUGUAAUCUGUUUUCCAACAUAAUCUGCUUAAUUCUUUUUCUGUAUUUGCUUUCUGGCUGUCUCAAAUGUAUGUGUAAAAAGGAUGUUGGCUGGCUUGAUACAGGGAAAUAGCUAACUUAGCGUUCAACCUCUUGACAGUUCCUCACUCCAUCAGGAAGCCAUUCCGUCUUCCAAGUCUCUCCCUGGGUCAGUCAGGAGUACCAGUCUAGCUGAUCUGCGGGCUGUGUUUCAUUGGGUUUAUUCCAGUUCUUUUCUUCCUCUGCUUCACAUUUGUUUCUCAUCCUGCCUCUCACCCCCAGCUCUAUCUGCUUCAUCUCCCAUGUGAGGGAAGGCUGAGUAACCUGGGUCUGUUCAACCUGGGCAAAAGAAGACUGAGGGGGGAUCUGUUUGAUGUUUAAAAAUAUCUGAAAGGAGGUGGGAGGCAAAUAGAUGAGGCCAGGCUCUUCUCAGUGGUGUGUAGCAAAGGGACAAGGAACAGUGGCCUAAAAUAUGAACAUAAGAAGUUCCUUACUAACAGGCAGAACUUCUUUACGGUGAAGAUGACGAAGCACUGGAACAGGCUGCCCAGAGAGGUUGUGCAGUCUCCUUCUAUGGAGGUAUUGAAGACCCAUCUGGACACCUACCUGUGCGACCUACUGUAGGGAAGCU